AAUGAACUAAAUGGUAUAUUACCUUCUUAUUUUUUAGUGAGUAACAAAGCAAUGUCCAAUAGAUAAAAAUGAAUAGCAAGCCCUCACACCAACAAGUUUGAAACCCACUCUCCACCUUUUCCGAGAGUUUCUUUUCCUUUGAACGAAGGUCCUACUAAUCCUUCUUAACUUUGCAAAGAGCUCUUUGGUAUGGAAGUAUAACGAUCCAUCCGAGAUACUAUCAACAAAAAGCAAACAUACAACAACCUUUAUCAAGUCUCUCUUUGUCCUUUGCAGCCACACCAUCGUUAAUCACAUUUGCCGCCCUCUUCUUCAUUUCGGUCUCUGAUGCGCUCUGUAGCACAGCCGCUACGACCAAAGGAGGAAGUAGAACACGAUUUGGCUACUAAGGUUUGGAUAUUUUAUUUGGGGAUUUCAUCCGAGCUAAUAGAGCGAAUCAUGCGAACAUAGAUUAUUUGGGUAAUUAGGGGCUGCUAGAGAAAAAUGAGGUUCCUGACCUCGAGC
rnacentral:lncRNA from 1 species